rnacentral:rRNA from 1 species
GGGCCCCGCACAAGCAGCGGAGCGUGUGGUUUAAUUCGAUGUUACACGAAGAACCUUACCAGGGUUUGACAUGCAAGUGGUAGGAAACCGAAAGGUGACCGACCCUUCGGGGAGCUUGCACAGGUGCUGCAUGGCUGUCGUCAGCUCGUGUCGUGAGAUGUUCGGUUAAGUCCGCUAACGAGCGCAACCCUCGCUGUGUGUUAUAUGUGUCACACGGGACUGCCGGUCUUAAGCCGGAGGAAGGUGGGGAUGAUGUCAAGUCAGCAUGGCCUUUAUAUCCUGGGCUACACACACGCUACAAUGGCCAACACAAUAGGUUGCUAAGCCGCGAGGUGGCGCCAAUCCAUAAAGUUGGUCUCAGUUCAGAUUGUAGGCUGCAACCCGCCUGCAUGAAGAUGGAGUUGCUAGUAACCGCAGGUCAGCUAUACUACGGUGAAUACGUUCCCGGGGCUU